AAAAAAAAAAGAAAAAGAAAAAAAACAUAUAAAGAGACAUUUCACCAAAGAAAAUACAUGGAUGGCAAUAAGCACAUGAAAAGUAAAAAGAAAAAGAAAACAAAAAAAAUAUAUAUAUAUAUAUGUUCUUCUUUUUUUUUCAGAGUCAAUGUACUUAAAGAUUAAUCAAUUUUGUUGAUCUUUUCAAAGAACUCAUUCUUGGUUUUAUUGAUUUCCUCUACUGUUUUCCUUUUUU
rnacentral:lncRNA from 1 species